UCUUCUUCUUGUUCAUUCUUCUUCUUCUUCUUUCUUUGCAGGCUCUGCUCCUCUCUAAACUCCCACUAUUUCCCAUGCCUCAUCUCCAUUUUCUUAUGGAAGCGAGGUUCUUGAAACCUCCAAAUCUUCCAUCAACAAAGACCCUGCUUUGGAUCCCUCACAUCAGCCUUGGACGUGAAGAAACCUCUCGCCAGCCCUCGCUUCACCGGCGCGGCCAGGAGGCUUUGUGUGGCGAAACUAUUCGCAUGAAUGGAAUUUUAUCGUUGAACUCCUGCAGCGUUCGGUGCGGAGGAAGUAAUGGAUUCUUGUCAACUUUUUGUGCACCCCUUAGUUUCUUCAGAAUCUUGCUCGCAAUCGAAUUUUUGAGUGCUGGCAGAUGAAGGUUCGGUGAUCAUCCGACGGCAGGCGGCGGGGAGAGCUGCAGCAAGCAUGGAUGUGGCCAAGGGACGUCCGAAGAAACGAGGCAUGAGCAAAGGAUGGGAUGCCCAGAACCUGCGAAAGCUGCAGUGAGAACCCUGGAAGCAGGCUUAAUCAUGACGACGACUAAUGCGGUAGAAGAUUCAAAGGAUUGGUCAGAGUGAAAGCCCAAUCAGGUAUCUGACCGAAGUGGUCAUGUAAUUCCCAUGCAUUAUUUCCGGCAAGUCCUGCUUGUAACUGCAAUCUAUCAACCAAGCUCGGACCUUCCACCAGCCAGCGAGGUCAGCCAAUGCCGGAGCUCAGUUUUUGUAGAUCAUCCAUGGAUCAAGCUUCACUGUGAUUUGGAUGUCAUGAGUUCGGAACACAAAAACAAACCCUUCCUUAUACGGGAAGAAGACUGCAUACAUUUGAUCCUCCACAGACAAUUAACGCAAUAGCGGCACUAGUGCAACUUUUUUUUUAUAUUGAUAUUGUCAAUUAGAAUAUUUAAUGAGGGUGGAGCAAAUGAGUCUUCUUGUAAAAGUUACAUAUAAUCCAGCUGCUGGACUAAUUUGUAUUGCACAAAAGCUGUUCUUUUUAUAUUUGACGUAAUCCAAGUGUUUAUGUGGCAUUUUGCA